CCUAUGUUUCUUCUGCAGCUGAACAAGCAGCAGGCAGCCUGCCAUGGGGCCCUGCUCUGGGGCCAGUCCCUCUGCUGGGACUCAGGGCUCCUGGGAUUCAUCAAUCUCCUCCUCAGUGUCUGCAGCACAACAGCCAACACUUCUGGAGCACAUGGCCCUGCAGUGAAGGAUUCUGGAGCUCACAUUUGUCUGAAGGGGAUCCGAGGAGGUUCUGUGUUGUUGAAUGUGAUUGAGAAGCUCAGAGUAGAUGUAGACGCCGAGCUGGAGGAGGUUGUAUGGACUUUGGGUACUCUGUCAAAUCAUACACAGGUGCUGUGAGUCCACAGGGGGGCCGACUCUCCAACCUGGGUCGGCCUUGAGGAAAAGUUCAAGCAGAGGGUCCAUGUGCCUAGCGUGUUGUCUCUGAGGAUUGAGAACCUGGCCCCUGAAGACAGUGGGCAGUACAUGGCCAUGAUCCAUUUAACUGGGGGACAAUUAUCUGGCCAGGUUUUCUACCUCACUGUCUAUGAGCCUGUGCCUCAUCCUGAGAUCCUGGCCAAGUCACUGUCUAUCAUACCAGGCUUGUGUAACAUCACCCUGGAUUGUAGGGCUCCAGGAGCCACAGAGGACCUGAAUGUGACUUGGGAGAGCAAGGACCUCCUCAGAGAGCUGGAGCACAGAGAAACACGAGGACCAGCCCCUAACCCCUGGAUCCUGGCUGUGGACCUGCCCCUGAGCCAGCGGAACAGCAAUCUCACCUGUGUGGUCAGCAACUAGGUAGAUCAGAAAGAUGUAACCUUACCUUGGGGAAGCCUGUGUCAAGGUGAGUGGUGAGUGUAGCCUGCAAGAUAGGAGGGGCUUCCUGAGCUCAGGCAGUACUGGGGUUUAAUGGUUCUGGGCUCUAUUCUCCACCAUGUGCAUUAGCACCACCUUCCACCUGCUCACCACACACAGCAGUGUGGGAGUCACAUCCACCUUGCUUCUGCCCUUAACCAUCUCUCCCACCGAUGCCCUCCUCCCCACAACCCCACCAUGUCCUUAUUGGUAAAGGCAGCAGCCUUCCGGGAGCUCUCCCACUCCAUCCAUCCUCCACUGGGCAUCCAGAGUGGGCUUUGAGAAAAGCAGGACAGCUUGUGCCAUUGUCUGUGUCAUCUGUGGGAACCUGAUUCCAGCCACUCUCCGUAUGAUUCAGAGCUUAGAUGCACCUCUGUCCACGUUGCUAGCCUCAUCUGCUCUCUUCACACCAAACUGCUUGCUAUAGUUCUCUGAAUGUAUCCUGCCAUUGCAAGCUUCUGGGCUUCUGCACAUGCUGGAUUUUCUGUAUCAGCCAUCCCAAGUCCUGUGUCCUUCACUUCUGCUUCAUGGGGUGAAGACCAUGUAAAGGCCCCAUGUUUGGUUUAAAGUUCUGUUAAUAAGUUUGAACAAGGGCUUCCUAUUUUCAUUCUGCAUAGGGCCUUUUCAGUUAUGUAUCCAGUCCUGAACUUAGGCAGCAAUCCUUUAGGGAGCGUCCAUGGCACCCCACACAGAGUAGUAGUGGUGGGGUUAUGUCUUUGCUCUGUAGAUGGCAAUGCCCUCAGGCAGAGGCCACCAUCAUGUUCUCCUUUGAAUCCCUGUGCCAAGUACAGCUUCUGGCAAAGUUUGCUCACAAUCAGUGUUCAUUGGAUGAAUGAAUGACUUGGUACCCUGGUGCAGUCACAUCUUCUCUAACCUUUCCUCCAGGAGCUGCCGGAGAGCUCUGAUGUGUCAGCAUCCCUUUAAACCACCCGUUACCUCCUCCCCUGUCCUCCAUCCUGGAGUGUUCAGUACUUAGCGUGACAACAAGGCCCUCUGGGCACAGACUCCUGCCCCCUCUGACUCUCCUUGCCAUGGUUCCUCCCUGCCCUGUUCCUCUCCUGCUGCAAUGGGGUGCUGGCAACUCCCAGGGCUGGUGUUUUGACACAGUAAUUUCCUAAGUGUGGUGCUCCUUCUUCCUGGAAUGCCCCACCCUGAAUAUCUGAGAAACUCUUACUCCCGCUUCAAGCCUCAGUUUAGCCAGCACCUCCUCUGGGAGGCCCUCCCUGAUGACCUUGUACAAGGUGUAAACCUCUAUUGCAGCUGCGAUCCCUCUGUCUGGCAGUUGGUAUUUUCUGUCUUCCCUCCUGUGUGCUGGGCUGCUGUGGACAUCGUCUUGUGCAUCUCAGCAUUCCUGGCACCAAGCAACAGCUCUUAACCAGUUGAAUGAAUGGACUUGUCAUGCUCCUCCCUCUGCAGCUUCUGCACCAGGCUCCUUCCCACUGCUCCACCUGCUUUCUCCCUCUGUCUCCUCUUGGCAAUGGUUAUGUCAAGUUAUUUCCUGCCUUAGCCUUUUUCACUCUCUGUCUGGGAGAACAGGUUCAUGUAGACUGGACACGGCUCUCCUUCGCGAGAUAUUCUUGGAGUCAUUGCAUUUGUGCUGUUGAUCCUGGGAGCUGGGCUAUACCUCUGGAAGAAAUGUGGGAAGAAGAAGAAGAAGAAAGAUGAAGAGGAAGAAGAGGAAGAGGAGCAGAAGGAGGAGGAGGAGCGGGAGGAGACAGGAAUAGGCAGGUUGCAUUUCUCCAUCGAGGCCCAGAUAUCUCCCCUCCCCCACUAGAAUCUGGGUUCUCUUUCUCCUGAAAGAAUGUCAUUGUUUAGCUAUAUGAAUAACCCUAGAUAUAGCAUCGAGUUAACAUGUCCAAGAUAUUUGUUACUGGAAAAAACUGAACAGCAAUGCAUGGUAUGAUUUAAUUUUUGUAAAAGUGUAUAGAUAGGUAGAUAGAAAGAUAAGCACAGAAUAAAAUCUAUACUACAUGACAGAUUACCAACAGUGGCUCACUCAGAGGUGAGGAAUUCCUCAAGGUUUGCUUCUUUUUAGUUUAUAUAUAUAAUGUAAUAUUUUAUGUUAUUUGAAUCUUUUACAAUGCUCAGUCACUGUGAAGUCAAAGGAAACAAUUAAGACAAUUUUGUAGCUUAAUUCCAUUUAGCUAAUUAAUCCCCAUCUCUGUGGAUGCACCUCAUCUUUUCUGCUGACUGUGACAUGGGGUAAAGACCAAACUCUAUUCCACCCCAUGCAGACACCAUAUACCUUUCCAGUUGCCAUGAACAAAUGAGAACAAAUUCAUGUAAAACAAAGCGAUUCAUUCUUUAUACACAUCUGGGAGGGAAAGCAGCUCCAGAAAAGGCCAUCUCUCAGGAUGAGGGCAAGGGCGGGAUUUCCUAUAGGAAAGCAACAAAGUUUCAGGAGGAAAAGCAAAUCAGUUAAAUCAGUGCCUGACUUGUCAGAGAGCAUUGGUUGAUGUCUGACACUCAGCUUUAGGCAUGGCGGAGCCCCAAGUACAUUUGUGAAGUUUGGGCAGUUGUGUUCCCAUUCUCCAUCAAGCUGUUGCUGUUGUCGUUGUUUUUAUUCCCACCAAUGUCUGGAGCCCCAGGUGCCCUGGUUCCUUCUUGGGGCCUUGACUGCUUUAUCCUUACCUUCCAGAUUCAAUCUUCAGCAGCAGGCAAGUCCUCAGGCUGCAGCUCAGGGCUCGGGAAAUUUCCUUCCUCAGCCCAUGCCCAGGAGCCUACACCCACCCUGUACCUUUCCCCCAUGAUAGCCCUUUCUGGAAAACCUUUCCCUGUACCUCCACUUUGGAAUUAGGGUGCAAUAAGACCACAUACUUGCCACAAAAGGUAUAUAGUUUUUUUAAUUGUACCUAUGAAGCAGCUUUUCUUUCCUUAUUUUAUUUGUAUUGUGCAGUAGUUGUACAUUUUUAAAAAGGAAAAAUGGUGCAAAACAGCAAUCCCUUGCCCUUCCUUCUCCACAUCUAGACUGGCUCUUCAAUGAGAGUCACUUUCAACUAUAGCCUUUACGUCCAAGUUUCUCAAUAAUGUGCUGAUGUUAUUAUCUUCAGUUCAAUUUUAGGCACUAACUAUUGACUUUUCAUUAUGAUAAGUGAGGAUUUUCCUCUCUCACAUGUCUUCCCUCCUUUAUCCUCCAUCCAACUAAUAUAGAUAUGUGACAUUUUUGGUUUAAAUCAAUAGUAUUUAUAGUCUACAAUUCUACAAACAGCUAAAAUUAUUUAGCAUUUUUAUUGUAGGCCAGACACCAUUCUAAGGUGCCUUACAUCCAAUUACUAAUUUAACAUGUCACCAUCUCUAUCAUAUAUUAUAAUUAUCUCCAUUUUACAGAUGAGGAAAUUGAAACAUCUCUUGGUAAUUUGUGCAGCGUUCUGAAUCUAGGAGGUGGCACAGUUGGGAUUAGAAGCCAGGUAGUCCGGCUCCAGCAUCCAUGCUUUCAACUGCUAGGCAAUCCCCAAACUGAAGCCUGCUAUUGGGAGCUUACUAUUGUUCUUGCUGCUAGGGAUACAGAAGUGAACGAGACAAAUACCCAGCUCUCAUAGAGCUUGCAUUUCAGGAGGACACUGGAAAUGAACAAAUGCCCAAGUAGAGAGAGAAGGUCAGGUGGUGGCCAGUGGGUGGAGAUGAAGCAAGCGGAGGGAAGCAGGAGGGCAGCUCUUUUCUGUGGAUGCUCAGGGAAAGCCUCUUUGGAGAGGGAGCAUUUUAGGCCUGAGUCGAGUGUAAGAACGAUUUCAGUGAGCAGGAAGAGCCUUCCAGGCAGAGGAAAGGGCAUGUGCAGAUGCCUUCAGCUAAGGCUGGGCUGAAGUGCUGCAGAAGCAGUCACAAGGCCCCCGUGGCUGGAGUCAGUGAUGAAGGGGACCUUGAACUGAGGUGGGAGAGUGGCCUGGGCCUUCCUGUGUUAGGGUUAGGGAACUGAGAUAGCUGAGGUGGGAGAGUGGCCUGGGCCUGACUGUGGUGGGGUCUGGGAACCGGGAGAGCUGAGGUGGGAGAGAGGCCUGGGGUCAUAUCUUGUUGGUCCUGGAAAGCCAAGGUAAGGGCAUGGAUUUUUUUUUUUUUUCCAGAUGGAGCCUCCCCCUGUCACCCAGGGUGGGGUGCAGUGGCACAAUCUUAGUUCACUGCAACCUCUGCCUCCUGGGUUCAAGCAAUUCUCCUGCCUCAGCCUCCCUAGUACCUGGGACUACAGGUGCGCGCCACUGCGCCUGGCUAAUUUUUGUAUUUUUAGUUGAGACGGGGUUUCACCAUGUUGGCCAGGCUGGUCUCGAACUCCUGAUCUCGUGAUCUGCCUGUCUCCACCUCCCAAAGUGCUGGGAUUACAGGCGUGAGCCUCCUCUGUGCCCGGCCAAGGACAUGGAUUUUAUUGUCAGUGGGACGGGGGUGUUGACAGAGGAUUGUGAGCAGCAGAGGAGGAUAGUGUGACAUUGAUUUAAAGGCCCACACUUUUGGCGUGUGUUGAACCCACUGCUUGGCAUCCAGGCUGGAGCCAGGGAGGCAGCUGAGGAGGCCCAGCAGGAAUCCAGGAUGAGACACUGGUAGCUUGGCCUAGAGUGGAAGUGGUGAGAGGUGGGCUAAUUCAUGACACAUUUUGGAGAGUCAACAGGAUUUGCUGUCGGGUUGGAUGUGGAGUAUGAGAGGACAAGGAGUCCAGGGCGACCCCAAGGAUUGUGGCCUGAGUGCUGGGGGGAUGAUGGUGCUGUUUACCGUGGUGGGGAGUGCUGGGGAAGGAGCAGGUUGGAGUGAGACUUUGAGAUGCACCAAGGCCUCCAGGGGAACUGUGCAGGCAUUUGGGCAUAUGAGUGUGGGCUCGGGGGGAAGGUGAGCGUAGGCAGGGGAGUCAUGAGAGCAGGGACCGGGUGCUGGAAUGGUUAGAGGGUGUGAAGACAAGACUGAGAAGGAGCAAUCAGUGACACAGGAGGAAAGUCAGGUGAGUCUGGCAUCCAGGGAGCCAAGUAAAGAGAGUUUUUCUUGAGGAAUGGAGUGAUGCAUUGUGCCCGAGCUUGCUGAGGGUCCAGCAGGGUGAUGCCCGAGAGCAGCCCGCUGGAGUCAGCUGGGGGAACGCAUGGGGACCUCCCAAUGGCCAGCGAAUUCUGUGGAUUCAGCAUCAUUCUCCUUCCUCAGAGAAGGCGUCCCUGAUCCUUAUGCCUCCUCCUCUGCCAGUAUCUGCACUUUCCCCUCUCUGUAUUUCUCAUGAUAGAUAGAAAUUUUGGCAUUUCCUUGUUUAAUGCCUCUCCUCCACUCGACUGCACAUGGCAUGGACAGGAGCACGCACGCUGCACUCAUCUGAGUCCCCAGUACGUAGCGCUGUGCUUGGAACACAGGCCGUGCUCAGUGACUAUCUCAGGAAUGGAUGUGGAGUCAGCCCCCAUGAACGGGGACUCCGAACAGAGCCCAAUCAGUUUUCAGUUCUGCUUUCGUAGAGUCAGCAGUGGGAACAGGGUUUUUGUUUGGGACCUAACAUUCCUGGGUAAGAGAGGGGAGAAGCCUCACACACAGACCUGGCCGGCCUCUGUGGAAAUGAUGUCUGGACAUGCCUGAGUAUCUGACAGGAGCUGUGGUAACAAGAAAGAACAUGGGCUCAGGAGUGGCAGCACUUUAAAUAAGAUAACCUUUAUAUUUUAUAAAAGUUUUUCAUUUACAGAAACAUUGGGCAGAUAGUACCGAGAGUCCCACAGACUCCACACCUAGUUUCACCUUUUAUCAACAUCUUAUGCUAUUAACAUCUGUUACAAUUAAUAAACCGAUAUGGAUACAUUCUUAUGAA